CCUUUUUUGAGAGGGCACAGUUUUAUGGCGUUUUCAAGAAGGUCAUGAGGCCUCCACUGUUGGACAAAGCACAGCAGUCAAUCGCCCUGAUGAAGGCAUUGCCAGACUUAUUUCCAUCACCUGUGGCUCCACCCAAGAAGUUGGGACAUGCAAGUGAGGCUUUGCUUCACAUCCUUAAGCCUACAGAAGACCCCAACACCUUUCUAUGAGCAAGACCACUCUCCAGCCCGGUCGUUGUUGUCUGUGAAACUAACUGC